UCAUUGGAAACAGCACCAAGCAUCUGGAGAGGGGGCCGUUACACUGUAAGAGAGUGAGUAGCAGGUCUCACAGUGAACCGGUCUCUUUUUCAGAAGCCACACAUUCAUCGUCCAAAAU
rnacentral:pre_miRNA from 17 species